rnacentral:miRNA from 1 species
UAUAAUUAUUGACAUUACAAAA